AAUGGGAUAACUGGGUCAAUGGUUAUUCCAGGUUUUCUAAGGAAACUCCAUACUGCUUUCCAGAGUGGUUGUAACAAUUUACAGUCCCACUAGCAAU
rnacentral:pre_miRNA from 1 species